rnacentral:rRNA from 1 species
AGUAACCUGCCUUGGAGUGGGGAAUAACAGCUGGAAACAGCUGCUAAUACCGCAUAAUGCAGUUGGGUCGCAUGGCUCUGACUGCCAAAGAUUUAUCGCUCUGAGAUGGACUCGCGUCUGAUUAGCUAGUUGGCGGGGCAACGGCCCACCAAGGCGACGAUCAGUAGCCGGACUGAGAGGUUGGCCGGCCACAUUGGGACUGAGACACGGCCCAGACUCCUACGGAAGGCAGCAG